CACCCAUUAACUCAACUGGCAGAGUAAUCGGCCUUUAACCGAUAAGUUACGAGUUCGAAUCUCGGAUGGGUGACCA
rnacentral:tRNA from 1 species